CCAUUUGUUUUCGAUGAUGGAGCUUUCAAAUCGACGAUCGGCACCAUUGAACAUGAUCUAUAUCACUUGAAGUAUCUAGAAAUCAAAUUUCAAAUCUUUUCGACAUCAUUUACCUAAUGAUCAAAGGGUUUCAAAAUUAGUAAUUUUAAUGGUUGAUAUGAGGGAUUUUCUCGUUUAACGGUGUAAAGCUAUCCAAAUCAAUUGAAUUUUGGUUAGAAAAUUCUUUAAACUAUUUAGAAGAAGAGCUAUACUCUCGAUCAUGAUUACAAAAUUUCUGUCAUCACUUUUUAGAGGAUAUUCAUUUUUAGCCAUUCAUUUUUACGCCCACUUGAUGGACAAGAAAAUAAUAUUGAAAAAGUAUGAAAUUUGUUUUCUGGAUACUUCAAGUAGUAUAGAUCAUUUUCAACGGUGCCGAUCGUCGAUUUGGAGGCUCCAUUAUCGAAAACAAAGGGGUGGCAACGUAGCCCGUUUGCUACCGAUAGCAUUCCAGCUCAACUCUCUCUAUAUAUAUAUAAUGAGUUAAUAACUGUAACAUACCGGACUUCUAAAGUUAUGAAGUCACGGUGUAUGUUAGGUUGGAAAGCUAUUCGAAUGGUUUCGGUGAAGUUCGAAAGCUUUCGGGCGAUUCGGUGCGCGUAGGCGCGAAAACGGAACCUGAAAGGUUAUGUUGGGCCGUGAGCUAAAUUUGGCAUAAGCGUUGAUGAAAGGAUGAUGGAGACAUGUUUGAAAAUAUGUUUGGAGAGUCUCGGUUCGAUUUGAAGAGAAUCGGAGGUCAAACGAGCGAAAUGGAAUCAAAACGGAGCCAAAAGUCAAUUCUGGAGCAAAGUGUACCGGUACAGGUUGAUGGUUGUACCGGUACAGCAAGCGACCCGAGCUGAGAAAUGAGCUCUCGGGUUUGAGAGAAAAGUUGGAAGU
rnacentral:lncRNA from 1 species